rnacentral:rRNA from 1 species
AUGCAAGUCGAGCGGGGGAAGGUAGCUUGCUACCGGACCUAGCGGCGGACGGGUGAGUAAUGCUUAGGAAUCUGCCUAUUAGUGGGGGACAACAUCUCGAAAGGGAUGCUAAUACCGCAUACGUCCUACGGGAGAAAGCAGGGGAUCUUCGGACCUUGCGCUAAUAGAUGAGCCUAAGUCGGAUUAGCUAGUUGGUGGGGUAAAGGCCUACCAAGGCGACGAUCUGUAGCGGGUCUGAGAGGAUGAUCCGCCACACUGGGACUGAGACACGGCCCAGACUCCUACGGGAGGCAGCAGUGGGGAAUAUUGGACAAUGGGGGGAACCCUGAUCCAGCCAUGCCGCGUGUGUGAAGAAGGCCUUAUGGUUGUAAAGCACUUUAAGCGAGGAGGAGGCUACUUUAGUUAAUACCUAGAGAUAGUGGACGUUACUCGCAGAAUAAGCACCGGCUAACUCUGUGCCAGCAGCCGCGGUAAUACAGAGGGUGCGAGCGUUAAUCGGAUUUACUGGGCGUAAAGCGUGCGUAGGCGGCUUAUUAAGUCGGAUGUGAAAUCCCC